AGGACGAACGCUGGCGGCGUGCUUAACACAUGCAAGUCGAGCGGUGAUCCUCCUUCGGGAGGUGAGCAGCGGCGAACGGGUGAGUAACACGUGGGCAACCUGCCCCUCACACUGGGAUAACCUCGGGAAACCGGGGCUAAUACCGGAUAUGACCUCGAGCGGCAUCUCUUGAGGUGGAAAGCUCCGACGGUGAGGGAUGGGCCCGCGGCCUAUCAGCUUGUUGGUGGGGUAAUGGCCUACCAAGGCGACGACGGGUAGCCGG
rnacentral:rRNA from 1 species